rnacentral:rRNA from 1 species
GAUGAACGCUGGCGGCGUGCCUAAUACAUGCAGGUCGAGCGAACAGAUAAGGAGCUUGCUCCUUUGACGUUAGCGGCGGACGGGUGAGUAACACGUGGGUAACCUACCUAUAAGACUGGGAUAACUUCGGGAAACCGGAGCUAAUACCGGAUAACAUUUGGAACCGCAUGGUUCUAAAGUGAAAGAUGGUUUUGCUAUCACUUAUAGGUGGACCCGCGCCGUAUUAGCUAGUUGGUAAGGUAACGGCUUACCAAGGCAACGAUACGUAGCCGACCUGAGAGGGUGAUCGGCCACACUGGAACUGAGACACGGUCCAGACUCCUACGGGAGGCAGCAGUAGGGAAUCUUCCGCAAUGGGCGAAAGCCUGACGGAGCAACGCCGCGUGAGUGAUGAAGGGUUUCGGCUCGUAAAACUCUGUUAUUAGGGAAGAACAAAUGUGUAAGUAACUGUGCACGUCUUGACGGUACCUAAUCAGAAAGCCACGGCUAACUACGUG